CCUACGGGAGGCAGCAGGGGGGAAUUUUCCGCAAUGGGCGAAAGCCUGACGGAGCAAUACCGCGUGAGGGAAGAAUGCCUACGGGUUGUAAACCUCUUUUAUCAGGGAGGAACAAAAUGACGUGUACCUGAUGAAUAAGCAUCGGCUAACUCUGUGCCAGCAGCCGCGGUAAGACAGAGGAUGCAAGUGUUAUCCGGAAUUACUGGGCGUAAAGCGUCUGUAGGUUGUUGAACAAGUCAACUGUUAAAUCUUGAAGCUCAACUUCAAAAUCGCAGUCGAAACUGUUUGACUAGAGUAUAGUAGAGGUAAAGGGAAUUUCCAGUGGAGCGGUGAAAUGCGUAGAUAUUGGAAAGAACACCGAUGGCGAAAGCACUUUACUGGGCUAUUACUGACACUCAGAGACGACAGCUAGGGUAGCAAAUGGGAUUAGAUACCCCAGUAGUCCUAGCCGUAAACUAUGGAUACUAGAUGUUGAACAGAUCGACCUGUGCAGUAUUAAAGCUAACGCGUUAAGUAUCCCGCCUGGGAAGUAUGCUCGCAAGNGUGAACUCGAAGAUUGACG
rnacentral:rRNA from 1 species